CCCCCCCCACGGCCGCCGCCAGGCCCCGCCGCGCCCCGCGCCAUGUCCGACCGCCUCGGCAAACCCACCUGCCUCCUCGUCGCCAGCGCCGCCGCCGCGGGUGUGUCAGCCCAGUCCUUCCUCCACUGCUUCACCCUGACCAGCUCUGCAUUUAACCUACAAGUUGCGACUCCUGGGGGGAAGUCGAUUGAUUUUGUGGAUGUGAAUGAGAGCAACACACGCUGGAUUCAGGACUUCCGCAUGAAGUCGUAUGCAAACCCGGCCAAGCUGGAGUCAAUCGAUGGUACAAGAUACCAUGCCUUGCUGAUUCCAAACUGCCCUGGGGCUAUGACUGACCUUGCAAACAGUGGGUACCUGGCUAAGAUACUGCAGCACUUCAGCGCUGAGAACAAGCCUAUCUGUGCGGUUGGACAUGGAGUUGCAGCUUUGUGUUGUGCCACCAAUGAGGAUAAAACCUGGGUAUUUCAGGGAUACAGCCUGACAGGGCCCUCUGUGUAUGAACUGGUAAGGCAGCCGAAUUUUGCCAGUUUGGCCAUUAUUGUGGAAGAUUUUGUGAAGGAUUCUGGAGCUACAUUUAGUGCCAGCAGCCCGGAUGCUGUGCACGUUGUGCUGGACAGGCACCUGGUGACAGGCCAGAAUGAGAAUUCCACUCUUCCUGCGGUCCAGAAUCUGCUGAUGCUUUGCAACGUCAGGUGAGGCGACUCGAGAAAGAAGAAUGAGGAACACAGUGGGGAGCAGCAGAAAUGAUUUAGCCUACCUGAGCCUCUAAGAGCAGCGAUUUGCCAGCGUUCACACCUGCUUUUCACCCUAAUCCAGAGCCAGGGCUUCUCAGGAGGAUUGUCUUCUUCAUCUUUCCCUGACAAGGCAGUGCCAAGCUACUGAAUCAGAGAUCAGCAGGCUCCCAAGAAAAGAAGCACGAGAGGAGGGAAGGCAAAGCACAAGGAAGGAAGGCAAAGCAUGGGGGCUGUGGCUCGAUGUCAAGGUGUGUGACCCUGUCUGCUGUACCACCUACAUGCAGGCCCAGGAGGAAGGGGAGAGUUACACUCUCCAUUUCACAGGGAGCAGAGCUGCCUGGCUGUGAGAGGCCGUUUCAUCCAGCUCAUUACCAUCAAACCACUGGGCUGGACUCACCGUCGUCAUCCCUGGACUUCUGGAGGAAGGGGAGUUAAGGUUUCAUCCCACACCUUGCUCUGCAGUGACUGGUGGAUAAAGAUGUGUUUGUAUGUAUGCCCUGGCACAAAGCCCCAUGCAAAAGCAACGCCUCCUGCCCAGAGCUGCGCUUCCUUUCCUGCACAGCAACAAGGAAACGUCUGCACUGGGAAGGUAUUUUAGGCUGUCAAUUUGAAAUGCCACAACUGCAUAUGCAGAUGUGUUGUUACUCUGCAAGAAGUGUCCCCAGACGGAACGGGUUCUGUAUGAGCAAACACUGAGCCAUGCUGGCGUGGCCCCAUCCCUGCUGGGACACGCGAGGGGUAUGAUUUGUGUAGCAUCGUUUUAUCACACGUGUGAGUUCCACGACUUGUCUUUUGAAGCCUUUUCCAAGUCAUUUUUUCCACAAGAGGGCACCGAGACACCCCCGCUGCUGUCCCAGCCAGGGCUCUGGCAGCCUCUAUGACUGAGACGGUGCUGCCUCCCCCUGAGCACCGGGGGCAUUUCACACGGGUUCAGCAGUGAAACUGCAGGGACCGAUGGAAGGAAGCUGCAACGCAAACGGUUCCAUUUAAACGUAAGGUAAAACUGUUUCGGUGUGAGGUGAGGGAGCCCUGGCCCAGGCUGCCCAGGGAGGCUGUGGAGGCUCCUUCUCUGGAGGUCCCCAAAACCCACCUGGACACGUUCCUGUGUGACCUGACCUAGGUGAAGCCUGCUUUGGCAGGGGGUUUGGACUGAAUGGUCUCUAAAGGUCCCACCACUCUGUGAUUCUAUGAUCCUCUCCCUGCCAGGAGUAUUGCAGGCAGUGCUGCUGCUGGGGGAUUUUUAAACUAAAAGUAAGAAUUCUGGCAGGGGAAGGGGGGAAAAAAGGGCAGAGUGGCAACGGUAAAGCGUUUCUGCGUGGCACACAGAGGUGCAGCAGCAAGAGCUGCAUUCUGCCGUGGGGAGCACCGGCAGCAGUGAGACCUGGUGCAGUGACUUCCCUCCGAUUUCUCCCCAUUUCAAAGCCUGUCGGAGGGUCCAGAGGAGAACAAACUGCAACACCACUUGUUUCCAGUUGUACAGAUGCUUUCGUGUAGGGAGGAGCUUCUUUCCCGUAGGGGUGUGCUCAGGGCACCUCAUCACUUGGGUUUAGGGCUUUGGCUAUUAACUGGUCACUCCAAAGCUGCCCAAACCAGCCUUGGCUGGGAUGUGUAUUUCAGGGGGAAGCCUCUGCUCUCUUUAGAAGCGAGAACGGAUCCUUUUGGUGAGCGGUUUUCCCUCUGAAUCCCGACGGUUCCCAAGCGCCGUCCCUCCGCCUCAGCAAAGCCGCUCCUCGGUCCGCACAAGCACCAAGCCCCCGCUCGGGCUGACGCGGGGCCCGCAGCCGCCGGGGCCGACCCCUGCGUGUCGGGACUGUCGCGAUACGGCUAUCGCGCUGGGCUCGGCAGCGAGGCCUAGCUGCACCUCAGCACCCUGCGUCGCUCCCACCGUGUCCCGCCGCCUCAAACCUCUAUCACGGUGGGAAACAGUCACCCCCCGUCCCGUCCCGUCCCGUCCCGUGCCGGGGGUGUCGCCGGGGACGCGCCGCUCACCUCGGCUGCCGACCGCCAUGGCGGCGCCCCGCCCCCGCCAGGCCUCGC